rnacentral:rRNA from 1 species
GACGGAGGUCCCGAGCGUUGUUCGGAGUUAUUGGGCUUAAAGCGCGCGUAGGCGGCCCCGCAAGUCGGCCGUGAAAUCUCCGGGCUCAACUCGGAGGGGUCGGGCGAGACUGCGGAGCUCGAGGUGGGCAGAGGGCAGUGGAAUUCCUGGUGUAGCGGUGGAAUGCGCAGAUAUCAGGAGGAACACCGGUGGCGAAGGCGGGUCUCUGGGCAGUAACUGACGCUGAGGAGCGAAAGCGUGGGGAGCGAACAGG